rnacentral:misc_RNA from 1 species
GGGUGGGGGUGCAGUUUGUACUCUGCUUAGGAGAUUCUUCUCCGGGAAUUCUGGCUGUUGCCAUUUUUAUUUUUCAAUUCCUUUGUAUUAAACUUCUGUUCUGCACUGUUGAGGAAAUUGUGUUACAUUGUUGUGUGUUGAAUUUAAAUAUUUCAGAGCAAUUCAUUACUCUAUCAAGUUGUUCAUGAAAUUUAUAGUAUGAAGUUUUAUUUUGCCC